rnacentral:rRNA from 1 species
GAUGAACGCUGUCGGCGUGCCUAAUACAUGCAAGUCGAGCGAACAGACGAGGAGCUUUCUCCUCUGACGUUAUCGGCGGACGUGUGAGUAACACGUGGAUAACCUACCUAUAAACCUGGGAUAUCUUCGGGAACCCGGCUCUAACACCGGAUAAUAUAUUACACCACAUGGUUCAAUAUUAAAAGACGUUUUUGCUUUCCCUUCUAAAUGUAUCCCCCCCCAUUAGCUAGUUGGUAAGGUAACGGCUUUCCCAGGCAACGCUGCGUAGCCGACCUGAGAGGGUGAUCGGACACACUGGAACUGAGACACGGUCCAGACUCCUACGGGAGGCAGCAGUAGGGAAUCUUCCGCAAUGGGCGAAAGCCUGACGGAGCAAAGCCGCGUGAGUGAUGAAGGUCGUCGGAUCGUAAAACUAUGUUAUGAGGGAAGAACAAAUGUGUAAGUAACUAUGCACGUCUAGACGGUACCAAAUCAGAAAGCCACGGCUAACUACGGG